rnacentral:rRNA from 1 species
UACAGAGGUCUCAAGCGUUGUUCGGAUUCAUUGGGCGUAAAGGGUGCGUAGGCGGCGCGGUAAGUCGGGUGUGAAAUCUUGGAGCUUAACUCCGAAACUGCAUUCGGUACUGCCGUGCUUGAGGACUGGAGAGGAGACUGGAAUUUACGGUGUAGCGGUGAAAUGCGUAGAUAUCGUAAGGAAGACCAGUGGCGAAGGCGGGUCUCUGGACAGUUCCUGACGCUGAGGCACGAAGGCCAGGGGAGCAAACGGG